UACGAGGGGGGCAAGUGUUGUUCGGAAUUACUGGGCGUAAAGGGAGCGUAGGCGGGCUCUUAAGUUGGAUGUUUAAAACCGGGGCCUAACCCCGGCGUGGUAUCCAAAACUGGGAGUCUUGAAUGGGACAGAGGCCAGUGGAAUUAGAGGUGUAGCGGUGGAAUGCGUAGAUAUCGGGAGGAACACCGGUGGCGAAGGCGGUUCUCUGGGCCUUACCUGACGCUGAGGAGCGAAAGCGUGGGGAGCGAACAGG
rnacentral:rRNA from 1 species